UACGGAGGGAGCUAGCGUUGUUCGGAAUUACUGGGCGUAAAGCGUACGUAGGCGGUUACUCAAGUCAGAGGUGAAAGCCCGGGGCUCAACCCCGGAACUGCCUUUGAAACUAGGUAGCUAGAAUCUUGGAGAGGCGAGUGGAAUUCCGAGUGUAGAGGUGAAAUUCGUAGAUAUUCGGAAGAACACCAGUGGCGAAGGCGACUUACUGGACACGUAUUGACGCUGAGGUGCGAAAGCGUGGGGAGCAAACAGG
rnacentral:rRNA from 1 species